rnacentral:tRNA from 1 species
GCGUGGCCGACGGUCUAAGGCGCGCUCUGGUUUUCUGGUUUUAGGCACCAGUCAUUUCGAUGGCGUGGGUUCGAAUCCCACCGCUGCCA